rnacentral:rRNA from 1 species
AGCAGUCGCCGCGGGAAUACGUAGGGUCCGAGCGUUGUCCGGAAUUAUUGGGCGUAAAGGGCUCGUAGGCGGUUGUUGCGUCGGGAGUGAAAACCCAGGGCUUAACUUUGGGCUUGCUUUCGAUACGGGCAGACUUGAGGCAUUGAGGGGAGAACGGAAUUCCUGGUGUAGCGGUGAAAUGCGCAGAUAUCAGGAGGAACACCGGUGGCGAAGGCGGUUCUCUGGCAAUGUUCUGACGCUGAGGAGCGAAAGUGUGGGGAGCGAACAGGAUUAGAUACCCGCGUAGUCCCUGUCUCUUAUACA